ACAUACUGUGCGAACGUUAUUCGGAAUCACUGGGCUUAAAGGGUGCGUAGGCGGUGGUUCAAGUCAGAUGUGAAAUGCCUGAGCUCAACUGAGGCAUUGCGUUUGAAACUGGAUCGCUUGAGUAUCCCAGGGGUGUGCGGAACUGCCAGUGGAGCGGUGAAAUGUGUUGAUAUUGGCAGGAACACCGGAGGCGAAAGCGGCACACUGGGGGAUAACUGACGCUGAGGCACGAAAGCCAGGGUAGCGAACGGGAUUAGAUACCCCGGUAGUCCUGGCUGUAAACGAUGAGCACUGGGCGGGAGGAAGUUCGCUUCUUCCUGCCGUAGCGAAAGCGUUAAGUGCUCCGCCUGGGGAGUAUGGUCGCAAGGCUG
rnacentral:rRNA from 1 species